GAGUUUGAUUCUGGCUCAGGAUGAACGCUGGCGGCGUGCCUAAUACAUGCAAGUCGAACGAAAAUCAAGGAAGCUUGCUUUUGCGAUUUUAGUGGCGAACGGGUGAGUAAGACAUAAAUAAUCUGCCUCUUAAACGGGGAUAAUUUCUGGAAACGGGGACUAAUACCGGAUAAGUGAACGAAGGGCAUCCUUUGUUUAUGAAAGGUGGGCAACACCGAUAAGAGAUGAGUUUAUGGUGCAUUAGCUAGUUGGUAAGGUAACGGCUUACCAAGGCGAUGAUGCAUAGCCGGCCUGAGAGGGCGACCGGCCACACUGGGACUGAGACACGGCCCAGACUCCUACGGGAGGCAGCAGUAGGGAAUUUUCGGCAAUGGGGGGAACCCUGACCGAGCAACGCCGCGUGAGUGAAGAAGGCCUUCGGGUUGUAAAACUCUGUUAUCAGGGAAGAAUG
rnacentral:rRNA from 1 species